AUUGAACGCUGGCGGCAUGCCUUACACAUGCAAGUCGAACGGCAGCGCGGGGCAACCUGGCGGCGAGUGGCGAACGGGUGAGUAACAUAUCGGAACAUACCCUAGAGUGGGGAUAACGUAGCGAAAGUUACGCUAAUACCGCAUACGAUCUAAGGAUGAAAGUGGGGGAUCUUCGGACCUCAUGCUCAUGAAGUGGCCGAUAUCUGAUUAGCUAGUUGGUGAGGUAAAGGCUCACCAAGGCGACGAUCAGUAGCUGGUUUGAGAGAACGACCAGCCACACUGGAACUGAGACACGGUCCAGACUCCUACGGGAGGCAGCAGUGGGGAAUUUUGGACAAUGGGGGCAACCCUGAUCCAGCAAUGCCGCGUGAGUGAAGAAGGCCUU
rnacentral:rRNA from 1 species